ACGUGUGGGAGUGUGUACGGAAAGAGGCGGAAGCGCCGCGGAGCCGCCGGGAACCGGACCGGGAUCGUCGGGAUCGGAAUUAUCGGGAUUAUCGGGAUAACCGGGAUCGAGGAGAGGGCCCAGAGCCCUCCAGGCUCCGCCGGGGAUGUUCCACGGCAUCGCAGGCCCGGCCGGGAUGGGCGCAGCGCCUGGGAAUAAACCGGAGCUUUACGAGGAGGUGAAGCUCUACAAGAACGCCCGCGAGAGGGAGAAGUGAGUGAGGGAAUUUUGGGGAUUUUUUUGGAAUUUUGGGAUGGGGAUGGAGGCGUUUGGGGUUGGGAUUUA